UACGUAGGGGGCAAGCGUUAUCCGGAUUUACUGGGUGUAAAGGGAGCGCAGGCGGUAUGGCAAGUCAGAUGUGAAAACCCAGGGCCCAACCCUGGGACUGCAUUUGAAACUGCCAUACAGGAGUGCCGGAGAGGUAAGUGGAAUUCCUAGUGUAGCGGUGAAAUGCGUAGAUAUUAGGAAGAACACCAGUGGCGAAGGCGGAUUACUGGACGACAACUGACGGUGAGGCGCGAAAGCGUGGGGAGCAAACAGG
rnacentral:rRNA from 1 species